rnacentral:rRNA from 1 species
CCUACGGGAGGCAGCAGUGGGGAAUCUUGGGCAAUGGGCGCAAGCCUGACCCAGCAACGCCGCGUGAAGGAAGAAGGCUUUCGGGUCGUAAACCUCUUUUCUGAGGGACGAAGAAAGUGACGGUACCUUAGGAAUAAGCCACGGCUAACUACGUGCCAGCAGCCGCGGUAAUACGUAGGUGGCAAGCGUUAUCCGGAUGUAUUGGGUGUAAAGGGCGUGUAGGCGGGAAAGCAAGUCAGAUGUGAAAACUCAGGGCUCAACCCUGAGCCUGCAUUUGAAACUGUUUUUCUUGAGUGCUGGAGAGGCAAUCGGAAUUCCGUGUGUAGCGGUGAAAUGCGUAGAUAUACGGAGGAACACCAGUGGCGAAGGCGGAUUGCUGGACAGUAACUGACGCUGAGGCGCGAAAGCGUGGGGAGCAAACAGGAUUAGAUACCCCGGUAGUC